rnacentral:rRNA from 1 species
UACGGGGGGGGCAAGCGUUGUUCGGAAUUACUGGGCGUAAAGGGCUCGUAGGCGGCCAACUAAGUCAGACGUGAAAUCCCUCGGCUUAACCGGGGAACUGCGUCUGAUACUGGAUGGCUUGAGUUUGGGAGAGGGAUGCGGAAUUCCAGGUGUAGCGGUGAAAUGCGUAGAUAUCAAGUGGAACACCAGUGGCGAAGGCGAGUCUCUGGACAUUUCCUGACGCUGAGGCACGAAAGCCAGGGGAGCAAACGGG